UNCGACUCAGCAGCUGCAGACCGGUCC
rnacentral:piRNA from 1 species